AGGUGAUGCAGCCGGCGCCCUCAGAUGCUCGUCCAGCACUCAUCCUGUAAUAUGACCGAAAAAGCCUAACGAAGCUGUACAACUGGCUGACCUACCUGGGAAUCUGUGAAGUUGUAGUCCAAGGAGAACUCCAGCUUACCCAACUUUUCCUGUUCUUUCUCCUCUUCCUCCCCUUCCUUCUUUACCUCCCCCUCCUGGAAGAUGAAAAAAACAUCAAUGCAUUGGAUCAAUCAUCAUGAAGAUCUAGAUCAGCAUUUUUUGAAAACACAGAAGAUGAAGCACGCCACCAAAACCAGGACCACCACAACAAUGGCUCCCACUGCCCACAUGGGAACUGCAAAAUAAAAAUAGGUGUAUUAUCAGGAUUCACAUAACACAGGAUUUUCAAGAGCAUUAAAAUUUUUCACAUCUUAUGAUUACAUUAAUCUAAACAGUUCCAACAGUAUUGUUGAACGUAAACUGCUUUGAAACAGAACUAAGAGUAUGAUGCAUAAUUUCCUUGCAGUAAAACAUGAUACUUCUUCAAUACUUUAUCUUUACACAGUUUGCUGAGCAUGCACACAUUGUUAGCAACACCCUUCUCCACAAUCAGAUAAUAACACACUCCCUAGCUGGGAGUGGCCUUAUUCAACCGCAGUCACCAACACUGCUGGGGCAGUUUAUCAUUAAGUGCUUUGCUAAAUGCAGCUCAGCAGUGGUUGUUGACUGAAAGGAAAACAAUUCUAAUUGUAUUUUUCUACUUUGAUUGAAUAUGUCAAAAACAUUGUUGGUAGCUAAGGAACAGCUUAAUGUUCAUCAGAAAAAGCUAGUCUAAACUGGUCAAUACAGAUAUGAAAUAAUAUAUCAUAAUGUGAAAUCUGUACAGGGGUGGCUUUACUCCUCCAAAAAAUAAACAGUGACACACACAUUG